GCUGCGGGUGGCCUAGUGGUUAGAGCGUCCGCCUCGGAUGCGGGAGGUCGUGGGUUCGAAUGGUCCUUGCUUGGAGCU